rnacentral:tRNA from 1 species
CUGUAGCUCAAUUGGAUAGAGUAUCUGACUCCGGAUCAGAAGGUUGGGGGUUCGAGUCCCCCCUGGU